UCCCUCGCUGCUAAGCUAUCCCUCGCUGCUAAGCUAUCGCUGCCAACCUAUCUAUCGCUGCCAACCUAUCUAUCGCUGCCAAUUUAUCUACCACUGCCAAUCUAUCUAUUGCUGCUAAUCUAUCGCUGCUGUCAAUCUAUCUAUCGCUGCUAAUCUAUCUAUCGCUGCUAAUCUAUCGCCGCUGCCAAUCUAUCCCUCACUGCUAAGCUAUCCCUCGCUGCUAAGCUAUCGCUGCCAACCUAUCUAUCGCUGCCAACCUAUCUAUCGCUGCCAACCUAUCUAUCGCUGCCAAUUUAUCUACCACUGCCAAUCUAUCUAUUGCUGCUAAUCUAUCGCUGCUGUCAAUCUAUCUAUCGCUGCUAAUCUAUCUAUCGCUGCUAAUCUAUCGCCGCUGCCAAUCUAUCCCUCGCUGCUAAGCUGUCUCUCGCUGCUAAGCUAUCCCUCACUGCUAAGCUAUCCCUCGCUGCUAAGCUAUCCCUCACUACUAAGCUAUCUAUCACUGCUAAUCUAUCGCUGCCAACCUAUCUAUAACUGCCAAUCUAUCUAUCGCUGCUAAUCUAUCGCUGCUAAUCUAUCGCUGCCAACCUAUCUACCGCGGCGAAUCUAUCUAUCACUAUCAUUACUAGUUCAAAAUAGAACUAGAGCAUAAAUACACUAAACUUCUUUUGAUAGGUAAUGAUUUUUGGUAACGCUCAUAGCAUUAUAUCAUCUAUAUAGGGUAAAUCAUGGUCCCAUUUGGUCCCAUUUUAACAAAAUGGGACCAAAUGGGACCAGAAUCAGUAAUUUAUAAGAAGAACAUGACCUGGGAC
rnacentral:sRNA from 1 species